AUUGAACGCUGGCGGCAGGCUUAACACAUGCAAGUCGAGCGGGGUGAUGGUGCUUGCACUAUCACUUAGCGGCGGACGGGUGAGUAAUGCUUGGGAAUCUGCCUAUUAGUGGGGGACAACAUCUCGAAAGGGAUGCUAAUACCGCAUACGUCCUACGGGAGAAAGCAGGGGAUCACUUGUGACCUUGCGCUAAUAGAUGAGCCUAAGUCGGAUUAGCUAGUUGGUGGGGUAAAGGCCUACCAAGGCGACGAUCUGUAGCGGGUCUGAGAGGAUGAUCCGCGACACUGGGACGGGUACCCGGCCCAGACUCCGACGGGAGGCAGCAGUGGGGAAUAUUGGACAAUGGGGGGAACCCUGAUCUAGCCAUGCCGCGUGUGUGAAGAAGGCCUUAUGGUUGUAAAGCACUUUAAGCGAGGAGGAGGCUCUUUUGGUUAAUACCCAAGAUGAGUGGACGUUACUCGCAGAAUAAGCACCGGCUAACUCUGUGCCAGCCGCCGCCGUAA
rnacentral:rRNA from 1 species